rnacentral:lncRNA from 1 species
UGAAUUGUUAACAAUAGUGGUUUUCAGUUAACGAAUGUAACUAAACCAGUUAAGACGUAUUCAAGCGAAAUUUAAGUGUAAUAUUGGGAAAAAAAGAGAGACAAGUGAAAAAAAACUUUUUAACAAAAUAAAAAGUAUGAAAAAAAUUUGCAUUAAAUUAUUAGUUACAAAUACUACCUAAUAUUAACUUCAAAAAUAUUAAAAAAAGAAAAUUAUUAUGUUCCAAAUACUAAAAAUAAAUAAUUUAACAAGUUUCAAUUUCAUUACAAAAUUUAGUGCAAAAUAUUUUAGCAGAGAGUGAAGAAAGCUUAACAGAAAAAUGUUAAAUGAAAAUAAAAAUAAAAUCAACAAAAUGUAAUUGCGUUUUAAACGAAUUCUCAGCUCAUUUCUGAAUAAAACGAUCGAUGUGUAAGCACGAAACAAAAAAAAAAAAUAAAUAAAAAAAUAUAUUUUAUUUUAAACUCCAACGAAAUUGAAACUUGUUAAAUUUACAAAACUAAAUUGAAUGAAAAAUAUAAUCGAGCAAAAAUAUAACGUAUAAAACCCUGAAAAGUGUUAAUUAAAAGCAAAAGCUAACGAAAAUCUACAAAUAAAAAAGUGACAAACAAAAUUUUAAAAAUAUUUUUUAUUUUAAUA